rnacentral:rRNA from 1 species
GGAAUAUUGGUAAAUGGACGAAAGUCUGAACCAGCCAUGCCGCGUGCAGGAUGAGUGCCCUAUGGGUUGUAAACUGCUUUUAUGUAGGAAUAAACCCCCUCUCGUGAGAGGGGCUGAAGGUACUACAAGAAUAAGGACCGGCUAACCCCGUGCCAGCAGCCGCGGUAAUACGGAGGGUCCAAGCGUUAUCCGGAUUUAUUGGGUUUAAAGGGUCCGCAGGCGGGAAAAUAAGUCAGUGGUGAAAUCCUAUCGCUUAACGAUAGAACUGCCAUUGAUACUGUUUUUUCUUGAGUGUAAUUGAAGUGGGCGGAAUGUGUCAUGUAGCGGUGAAAUGCAUAGAUAUGACACAGAACACCGAUUGCGAAGGCAGCUCACUAAAUUAUUACUGACGCUCAGGGACGAAAGCGUGGGGAGCAAA